GUGCGUGUGAUCCAAGUUUUCCAACAUCACUUUCAACCGUCUUUUGAAACACUAAAACUUUUGCAAUGUUUGCCAUUUUGCCCUGCAACCUAGCGCAUUGCAUUUGCAUUGUUUGUAAAUGCCUACAACAACCAUACCGUCAGCCAGACCUGGUGUUGAUGUGAUGGGUGGAGACAGAAGCAAGGGCCAAGUGAAGGGAUCUGACAUUGGACUCCAUAAAUGUCUGUUACAAUGUUCUUUAAUUGAAGUUGAAAUGAAGAAGCUGACGUAAAAGGAAGGAAAUGGUACAUUACUGUUGCCGAAGUGAAGCAGGUUGUACUAACUUUGCAAGGACAGGAAAUAAAAGCAAGCAAGGUUCAUUGGUGGAAGAAUAUAUGACCAAGAGUUUGCUCUUCUGGAAAUUAAUAAUUGGUUUCAUUAGUAUCAAAAAGUUAAGACUGAUUUGGAACUCAGAGAGCUGUAAGUCCUGUGGAUAAUAUGGAGAUUGGCUUCCAUUUCUCAGCACUUCUGCUUCUUUGAAAUAAGGAAGUUCGUAGACCUUCCUUAGCUUCCUUGUGCUCGCUUGUCUUCCCCGUCCCCCUUUGGUGUUUUACAAAACUGAGUCCUUGAAACCCUCCCUCUCACCACCAUACAGACAGACGUGGUGUAAUGAUCAAGAAAAGAAACCUUUUCAUUCCUCUAGGCUGUCGGAAAUCCUAGUGAUUAAGUGUCAUUUCAGGUCAUUGAUGUGAAAUCAUUUGAAUUUUUUUUUAAACAGUUGGCAGUGAUUAGGAAUGGUUAAUCUUGCUUGAGCUGUUCUUUCAGUAAUCAAGUUUAGGUAAAUAUUAGACCAAUUGAAACUGAAAAAAGGGUUUUA